CUGCGAAUGGCUCAUUAUAUAAGUUAUCGUUUAUUUGAUAGUACCUUACUACUUGGAUAACCGUGGUAAUUCUAGAGCUAAUACAUGCUAAAAAUCCCGACUUCGGAAGGGAUGUAUUUAUUAGAUACAAAACCAAUGCCCCUCGGGGCUCUCUGGUGAUUCAUGAUAACUCGUCGAAUCGCACGGCCUUGCGCCGGCGAUGGUUCAUUCAAAUUUCUUCCCUAUCAACUUUCGAUGUUUGGGUAGUGGCCAAACAUGGUGGCAACGGGUAACGGAGGGUUAGGGCUCGACCCCGGAGAAGGAGCCUGAGAAACGGCUACUACAUCCAAGGAAGGCAGCAGGCGCGCAAAUUACCCAAUCCCGAUACGGGGAGGUAGUGACAAUAAAUACUGAUACAGGGCUCUUUUGGGUCUUGUAAUUGGAAUGAGUACAAUUUAAAUCCCUUAACGAGGAACAAUUGGAGGGCAAGUCUGGUGCCAGCAGCCGCGGUAAUUCCAGCUCCAAUAGCGUAUAUUAAAGUUGUUGUGGUUAAAAAGCUCGUAGUUGAAUCUUGGGCCUGGCUGGCCGGUCCGCCUCACCGCGUGUACUGGUCCGGCCGGGUCUUUCACUCUGCGGAACCACAUGCCCUUCAGUGGGCGUGGCGGGGAAGCAGGACGUUUACUUUGAAAAAAUUAGAGUGCUCUAAGCAGGCCAAUGCUCGGAUACAUUAGCAUGGAAUAAUAAAAUAGGACGCGCGGUUCUAUUUUGUUGGUUUCUAGGACCGCCGUAAUGAUGAAUAGGGACAGUCGGGGGCAUCAGUAUUCAGUUGUCAGAGGUGAAAUUCUUGGAUCUACUGAAGACUAACUACUGCGAAAGCAUUUGCCAAGGAUGUUUUCAUUAAUCAGGAACGAAAGUUAGGGNAUCGAAGACGAUCAGAUACCGUCGUAGUCUUAACCAUAAACUAUGCCGACUAGGGAUCGGACGAUGUUAUUUAGUUGACUCGUUCGGCACCUUACGAGAAAUCAAAGUGCUUGG
rnacentral:rRNA from 1 species